rnacentral:rRNA from 1 species
ACGUGAUCUGAGUUCAGACCGGAGUAAUCCAGGUCGGUUUCUAUCUAUAAAGGACUUUUUCUAGUACGAAAGGACCGAAAAAGCAUGGCCAAUAAUUCUAUUAAGCCAUUAUUUUACUUAUGCCCUCAACUUAAUAAGGAAAAAUCCUAACAAUUAACUCAAGAAACAGAG